rnacentral:rRNA from 1 species
UACGGAGGGUGCAAGCGUUAUCCGGAUUCACUGGGUUUAAAGGGUGCGUAGGCGGACAGGUAAGUCAGUGGUGAAAUCUCCGAGCUUAACUCGGAAACUGCCGUUGAUACUAUUUGUCUUGAAUAUUGUGGAGGUAAGCGGAAUAUGUCAUGUAGCGGUGAAAUGCUUAGAUAUGACAUAGAACACCAAUUGCGAAGGCAGCUUACUACACAACGAUUGACGCUGAGGCACGAAAGCGUGGGGAUCAAACAGG